rnacentral:rRNA from 1 species
UGGUCCUAGCCUUGUAAUCAGUCUUUACUCAACUUACACAUGCAAGUCUCCGCACCCCUGUGAAAACGCCCUCCAACCCCUUAAGGGACGAGGAGCCGGUAUCAGGCUCAAUCAUUAGCCCAAGACACCUAGCUUUGCCACACCCACAAGGGAAUUCAGCAGUGAUUAACAUUGAUAAUAAGCGCAAGCUUGACUCAGUCAGAGUAAUUAGAGCCGGCAAAUCUGGUGCCAGCCGCCGCGGCUAUACCACGAGGCCCAAACUGAUCCCCUUCGGCGUAAAGCGUGAUUAAAGUGACCCCAGACUGUAGAUAAACUAGUAUUUAGCUGUGAUACGCUGGUUUCUAGGAAAAACAAAAACGAAAGUUGCUACAGCAGAACCCGCUUGACCUCACGACAGCUAAGACACAAACUGGGAUUAGAUACCCCACUAUGCUUAGCCGUAAACCUUAACUUACACCCAAAUCGCCAGGGAACUACGAGCAACGCUUAAAACCCAAAGGACUUGACGGUGCCCCACAUCCACCUAGAGGAGCCUGUCCUAUAAUCGAUAACCCCCGUUCUACCUCACCACUUUUUGCCUAUCAGCCUGUAUACCUCCGUCGUCAGCUUACCACGUGAGCGCCCUCCAGUAAGCGUAAAAGCCCCCCGCUAAAACGUC